rnacentral:rRNA from 1 species
GACGAACGCUGGCGGCGUGCCUAAUACAUGCAAGUUGAGCGAUGAAGCUUGGUGCUUGCACCAAUUUGAAGAGCAGCGCACGGGUGAGUAACGCGUGGGGAAUCUGCCUUUGAGCGGGGGACAACAUUUGGAAACGAAUGCUAAUACCGCAUAAUAACUUUAAACAUAAGUUUUAAGUUUGAAAGAUGCAGUUGCAUCACUCAAAGAUGAUCCCGCGUUGUAUUAGCUAGUUGGUGAGGUAAAGGCUCACCAAGGCGAUGAUACAUAGCCGACCUGAGAGGGUGGUCGGCCGCAUUGGGAGGGUGACAGGGCCCAAACUGCUACGGGAGGCAGCAGUAGGGAAUCGUCGGCAAUGGACGAAAGUCUGACCGAGCAACGCCGAGGGAGGGAAGAAGGUUUUCGGAUCGUAAAACUCGGUUGGUAGGGAGGAACGUUGGUGAGAGUGGAAAGCUCAUCAAGUGACGGUAACUACCCAGAAAGGGACGGCUAACUACGUG